rnacentral:tRNA from 1 species
UGGGGCGUCGACAAGUGGCAAGUCACGUGGUUUUGGUCCACGUAUUCGGAGGUUCGAAUCCUUCCGCCCCAG